rnacentral:rRNA from 1 species
GAUGAACGCUGGCGGCGUGCCUAAUACAUGCAAGUCGAGCGAAAAGACGAGGAGCUUGCUCCUCUGACGUUAGCGGCGGACGGGUGAGUAACACGUGGAUAACCUACCUAUAAGACUGGGAUAACUUCGGGAAACCGGAGCUAAUACCGGAAAAUAUAUUGAACAGCAUGGUUCAAGAGUGAAAGACGGUUUUGUUGUCUCUUAUAGAUGGAUCCGCGCUGCAUUAGCUAGUUGGUAAGGUAACGGCUUACCAAGGCAACGAUCCGUAGCCGACCUGAGAGGAUGAUCGGCCACACUGGAACUGAGACACGGUCCAGACUCCUACGAGAGGCAGCAGUAGGGAAUCUUCCACAAAGGGCGAAAGCUUGACGCAGCAACGCCGCGUGAGUGAUGAAGGUCUUCGGAUCGUAAAACUCUGUUAUUAGGGAAGAACAAAUGUGUAAGUAACUAUGCACGUCUUGACGGUACCUAAUCAGAAAGCCACGGCUAACUACGUG